UACGAAGGGGGCUAGCGUUGUUCGGAAUUACUGGGCGUAAAGCGCGCGUAGGCGGACUGACAAGUCGGGGGUGAAAUCCCGAGGCUCAACCUCGGAACUGCCUUCGAUACUGUCAGUCUUGAGGUCGGGAGAGGUGAGUGGAACUCCGAGUGUAGAGGUGAAAUUCGUAGAUAUUCGCAAGAACACCAGUGGCGAAGGCGGCUCACUGGCCCGGAACUGACGCUGAGACGCGAAAGCGUGGGGAGCAAACAGG
rnacentral:rRNA from 1 species